CAAGCAUAAGCUGAACUGUGGGGUUUCUCAUGACCACACAUACUCAUUGUCAGAGUACUGUUAAUGAUGACCUUAAAAUGAAUGACGAGAUAACGUCAGAGUCGAAGCAGCCGGUUAACACAUUUAAUGUUUUAAUUACAGAACAGCAUUCCCUCACCACCCACUUUAUUAGGAACACCUACGCGUUCAUCAUCUAAUCAAGCAGUCAUGUACGGUGCUGGCAAAUGACACGCCCUCAGAGUUUAAGAAGCCGGACCCGUUUCAGCAUCAACACACCCUACAGCGCUUCUUAUUCACAGCAUACAUAAUCAUCCGUCUUAUCCGUACAGACAUGGAGGCCAGACUGAUUGUAGCGGUUGUGUUUAUCUGCGCUGUUUGUCGCUUCUCUGAAGUCCAGCUGCAGAACACGACACCACUAACUAACAACAUCACUCGUACUGGUUGCGGCACCACUAAGCUGUGUGUGUCGACUCCGUCUAAUUGCGAUCUUGCAGGAAACUCCAGCUGUUAUUUCAGCUCUACUCAGUACAAUAAUGCAACACUGACCGUGGAACUCUCCGGCACAACUUCAGGAUACGUGGCAUUGGGACUCACAUCCACUAGCAGCCUACUUAAUUUCAAUGGAACUGCUGUGUUCGUCUGUGGCAACAAUAACAACAGCGCCUUCUUCGAAACAGCUAUUCAGAACGGCUCAGUGUUGACUCCUGCUAACCUGACCGCCUUAAAUAUAACCAGUGUUCAGGGUUCAGUAUUGGGAAACGGGAGUCUUGUUCAGUGUGUCUUCAAUGUCACCCUCAAUUCCACCUUCCUCAAUUCCAUCUUCCUCAGUUCAACUGUUCAGCUGUCUUCCAACAUCAGCAUCUAUAAUGGAAGCACAAAUGGAACUGAACUGGAAAAUGCAACUACAUUAAUUACCACCGGACCUUUCGACUUGGCAAAUCCCAAGAGCAAUAUUCCAAGCAACAGCACAACACCACUGCUCAACAUCACUCGUAACGGUUGUGGCGCCACUAAGCUGUGCUUGUCAAAUGCGUCUACUUGCGAUCCAGCAGGAAACUCCAGCUGCUUUUUCAGCUCAUUUCAAGUGAACAACCAAAGUAUCUACUAUGAACUUAGUGGCACGACAUCAGGAUAUGUGGCGCUGGGACUCACUACCCAGAAUUCUACCUUUGUGUUUGUGUGCGCCAACAACACUAACAACAGCAGUUUCUUCUUUCAAACGGCUACUAAAAACGGCUCAGUUCUGACUGCUGCAAAUGUGACCACCGUAAACAGCUAUCAAGGUGUUGUAACACAAAACCUCAUUCAGUGUGUCUUCAACACCAGCGCCACUUUAAGCACCAGAGCUUCUAACACUGUGUACAGGAUCUACCUCAUGAACGGAACCACCAACGGAACUGAACUGGGUAUUGCAACUACACUGUAUACCUCCCCAUCAGCAGUAGACCUGUCUAAUCCUAGUGCCUUAAACACUGCAAACACCAACUUCUGCACUAAUGUGUUGGCUGUGCUGCUCGCCACUCUGACUCUACACCUCAUAUAAAAACCUGCCAUGUUCAUUUUAAUAUAAAAUCCCCAGAGCCUAUAAAUGUGUGUUACAGUAUCUGAUCUGUGCAUGUGUGUUUAUACAUUUAUGAAGCUAUUGUUAAUUGGCUGAACAUGGAACACAUCUGUCAUAUACAGUAUAAACAUCACCCUUUUAUUUAUUUAUUUUAUUUUUUUUUUACAGUCAAUACGAGAAAUUCAUUUGCACUUCCAUAGACGUCAGACUUUUAAAUAUAAAAAUUUAUAAUAACGAGGGCGCAAAUGUUUUGAAUAAAAUCUACUUUAUAUGAUCAUUUUAAUUAUUAAAUAAUUGUAAUUUCAGUAAUUUCAUGCUCAUCAUUUUUAUUUGAGAUACUUUAUACACCUAGGUGAAUGUAAGUUUCCACCCCUAAAACCUUCUAUAUGUUUUUCACUUUUGUUGGUUGAUAUCAUACUAAAGGUAAACAAAUAUCUAACAUGACUUGAUUUUAUUUUGGUGUUUUUUAAAUAUCAUUUAAACUAUUUUAACAGGUGUGUAGACUUUUUUAUAGUCACUGUGUGAGCUCACAGCUGGGAAAAUACACACGAGUGAAAGCAGCCUUAACGGUGUAUUUCUUUCUUUUUUACAUUUGACCUACAAUGUUGUCUAAAAACACUCAUGCCGAUUUUGUAAUGAUCUAAACUGCUAAAAUACCUAACUACAAAAGAUUUCCAUAUCAGCAUAUUUAUACAUUGUCAUAUGUGGGUUUGUUGUUGUUGUUGUGUCACAUUAUUAAGAUGGCCCCAUUUAUAAUGACUACAGUACUGUGCAAAAGUUUUAGGCACCCUAUUUGUUGUUGUUUUUUGUACAAACUUUGUUUGCUUGUUUUUUUUUCAUUUAAUGACGUCUACAUUAUGGAGUCGGUACGAAAAAAAAAACGUUUUAGAUUCCCAAACAUUCGUUUUCUGGCACAAAAGUAAAUGUUACAGAAAAAAGUAAAUCUUACAGUUGUUAAAGAAAGCAGCGUAUUAAGAGGUAAUAGAUGACUUUUCAGGCAAAAAAACCAUGACGAACGCUGCUGGGUUUCGCUGCAAAAAUAAGAAGUGCGUGCAACAGUCAAAGUCUCCAGAAGGUUCUGCGAGAUGCUCAAUGAUGCAGUGGCCAUGCCCUCUUCGUAUAAAAAGAGUCACACAACAUCUUCAACUCCAUUAAAUAUCUUUCCUCAUACAAAAUCGCCGAUCAUUUCAUUACAGGUAUGGAGGCCAAACUGAUUGUAGUGGUUAUGUUUGUCUGUGCUGUUUGUCACGGCAUCAAAGCCAAUCUGCAGACACCAAUGAUUGUUAACACUAGCAUCACUAACACUGGCUGUGGAAGCACUAAACUAUGUGUGUCAAGUGCACCUAAUUGUGAUCCUUCAGGAAACUCCAGCUGCUUUUUCAGUUCCAUUCAAGUGAACAACCAAACUGCGUCCAUUGAACUCAGUGGUACAACAUCUGGAUAUGUCGCACUGGGACUUACUGCCAGUAACCAAUCAGAGGGAGGUGCUGUUGUGUUCAUCUGCGGCAACAGCAACACCGUAAACAGCACUUUCUUUUUUUAACACUGCUACUCUAAAUGGCACGAUGCUGACAUCUGCUAAUGUGUCCACUGUAAACAGUGUUCAGGGUGCUUUAAGACAAAACCAGAGCCUCGUUCAGUGCACCUUCAACACCACCACCAAUCUGACCAUCAACAAAAGCAGCAACUUGAUAAUCAGUAACACCAGCACCUUUACAUCACCAUCAUGAACGGAAGCUCAAACGG
ensembl:lncRNA